GGUAACACGACAGUGGGCUGGCCGGUUGAACGGACAUCCCCUGCAGGUCUCCAUGACGAUGGAUUGAUGGUGGAGGACGUUACCGCCAUCUUGGCAGCGACCUUCAGCGAGCGCCUACUGUCCAAGGCUACCAUGGCGCCAUCUGUGAUGACUGUAGUGCCGGCGUUGCCAAAUUUUCAACCGCCAGUGCCUGCCACCUAUUGGACAGUGCUUUGAAGCGUAUUUGUCACACCUGGAAUCGGCGAACG